rnacentral:lncRNA from 1 species
UCGGGGAGCGAGAGGCCGCCACCGUCAUGUGGGAGCACGCGAGGUCUGGGCGCCGCAAGCAGCCACAUCCAGCAAGAGGCGCGCGACCCGAUCGCGCGCACUAUCCUUUGAAAGUGGCCGACCAGGUGGGGCAAUCAAAAAGCGCGCACCGAGACACACGGACGCGACGCGGGACGCAGAGGGUUCGGUGAUCGGCGCUCGCAGUCGGCUCACGUGCCACGCAGGCGAGCCCGGCUCGGCGGCGCCGAGCCGGGCGGUCGCAUUGCCGCGGUCCUGCGAGGACAGACAACCGACGAGGGCCUCGACCGCGGAAAAAAAGGCAUCGUCGGGAGUGCGCGUCUCGGUGCGUAUUGCACCGCGCGUCGUGCCCACGAUACACGCCAGCACGACGAGCGCCGUCUGCUCGGCGUUGGCGUCGAUAUCGGACCCACCCACCCAAGCGCGCACGUCCACACGGCGCCCGGCGGGACCCCAAAAGACGGGCGCCACUCGCGAGGUGGCGCCGACCUGGGCGCAUGCGAGCGACAACAAGGCGACCGAUUUCUCCCUGCCCGCUGCGUAGGCCAGAGCCGCCGCGGGGAGCCAAUCGCCGUCGAGAAUGUCGCCGACGUGGGACGGGCGCGCCGUGGCCGUUUGACGCAACAGCCAGGCAUCGAGACGCGCGUCGCUGGCCACGCGCAUGCGUUGCCUUGCGAUGGCACGCAUGCGUCGGGCAACGCACAGGCACCUCGAUAUCACGGCGCCACAGCCCAGGCGCGCAGCGCGCGUCACCGUGUCGGCGAGCAUGGCCGGGAGGUUGGGAUCGCGCUCCAGCGCUGUGACUAUGGCAUCGCGUUCAGAGUCGGCAAUGUCCCCACGAUAGGCCAGGAUCUCGACGUCCUCGGCGAUCAUCUCCAUGCGCGGCAUGCGAUGACACACAAGCAUGAGCGCGCCGAGAACGCGCGCAAAGUCGGCGUCGGGUGCCGGUGCCACGAGCGCCAUCACGGGUGUGCCAUCUCUGGCGACAUCGAUGCUACCGCCACAAGCGACGCUGGUCAAGUUGCGGGUCUCGGCACCGAGCGUUGCACGGCACGCAACGCGCCACACGGCCCCGAGUGCUGUGCGGGAUGCCGUAAACAGCGAGACGGCAUCCCACGGGUUCAGGAAUGCGACGAUCUCGGCACAAACCCCGACCCGGUGCUCCAAGAGGCCUAGCAGCGUGGCAGAGUCGGCGUCGAUACCGUCGACCAUCGCGUCGCGCCGAUCGUGGCCAAAGUGUGACACGCUGCGAUCGUCGCCCUCGGCGUUGGCCACGGUAAUCGCGCCUCGCGAAUUAGGUGCGCGGGGCGCACGGCCGACAUUGAUACCGCAGGCGCGGCGGUGGCGCAAUACCGCGCGCGUCUUUGUAGCGCGACGCACGUUAUCCGUGGGCAGCGGCUCGGGUUUUGCGCUGUUGAGCGCGCUCCAAAAGGACUCGGCACGCGCCUUGGCCAAGUCCAGCGCAACAGACGCCCACACGCGCGCCGUCAGCGAAUGCGCGCGCAGCCCGCCGGGGCAAUCGAUGGGCGACGCGAGGACAAGAACGCGGGCGAUGGCCAUGCGGGCCGCCUCCGUGGUGCGCGGCAUGGCGGCGGGCUGUUGCGUUGCCAUGGCACACAGCCGAUUGCAUGCCUCGUCAAGGUCAGAUGCCGCAGACGCGUCAGGCCGAUCGCCGCAUCCUGCCCUCACGGCACCGUCCAUCAAGCCGUCGCUGGCGAUGCGCCUCAGAAGUCGCGAGGUGCGCUCAUCGUCGCCAUCAUGAGCGUCGCCGCCGUCGCCAUCAUGAGCAUCGCCGCCGUCGCCAUGGGCGUCGAUGUCGAUGCGACACGGGGGGUCGGAUGCACACCGCGCCUGCGAGAGACCGCGCACGACUGCCGCGACCAAGCGACAAGAGGCCAAAUAGGCGCGCUCGCCGUUGCUGGUCGGUUCAGCGAGGCGCCUGCCGAGAUGAGAGAACCCGCGUCCCGUCGCGAGGUUGGUCGACGCGAUCCGACACGCCAGCGUCAAGAGCAGAUCUGAUCGGAGCCGUCCGGCUGCUGUCGCCAGACCGAUGGCCGAUGCCCACACGUCGGUCGUGGCCAGACCGACUGCGGCACCCUCUACGACGCCCAUGACGUCGGCCAGCCAUGCAUCCACGCGCGCGGUAUCGUCCGGGCGUUUCCGAGUACGGCCAAGGCAAGCGCUAUAUGCGGUGCUCGCAGCGCUCAGCGAUUCGCUCAGGUCCAGGCAGGCAUUAAUGGCCGCGCCACAACGUGUGGCUGAUGCCCAGAUGAGUGUUUGUUCCACGGCGUCGCGCUCAUAGGCGGCAGAGGGUAGAGAUAUCUUUGCGGUCGUCGUCGCGUGUCGGCCGAGCGCAUGUUGCACCAAAGCGUAUUUGCUCUGUAGGCGCGGAACCACGCGCACCACCAACCACGCGGCUCCCACACGCACUUGGAAAGGCACGUUGCGCGGCGACACCCACACCUCGGCUCUGUGGUGCUGGGCAUCGGCCAACCGGUCGCCGGUCGCGCGCACCAUCCCGGAAGAACAAAAGGGUCCGUCGGCGCGCGCAAGCACGUCAGCCAACACGUAUUGCGUGGCCAGCGACGUGCGCCACAGGGCAAAUAAAUCGCACAGACCAAGCCUGUGGAUCACGGCGGCGGCCAGCGUGCCGUCGUGAUGGCCCAACAUGGCGACUAUACAGCCGCAUAGCGUGCGUGCAGGCUCACACGACAAUGGGGGCAGGCGACGCGUCGGCGGAUCGCCUCCAUUUUCUGUAUCCGACCGGGCGCCACCACCGCCUCCUCUGGCAUUGCAAAAUCGCUGCCUGUCGUCGUUGUUGCUGUUCCCGCCAGCGGCGUUGGUGCCGCCACACGGGCCGGUAUCGACGUCGCGGCCGUCUGCGUCGCGGCGCGCACGCAACGCACCCUUGCCUGAUGCAUUGCCGCUGCCCUCCAUUCACGUUGGCCCUAGGCACGUCUGUGCGUGGUGCUGGUGUGGGUAAAAAAAUAAACAAUAGGUUGUCUUGGCCUGCUCGAUGGCAC